rnacentral:pre_miRNA from 1 species
AGAGGGAUAGCUGGGUCAAAUGGUGGUUCCAUUCCCAGAUUUCCAAGGAAACUCCAAACUGCUUUUCAUAUUGGCUGCACCAAUUUGCAGUCCCACCAGCAAU